rnacentral:rRNA from 1 species
UACGUAGGGUGCGAGCGUUGUCCGGAAUUACUGGGCGUAAAGGGCGCGUAGGCGGCGACUCAAGUUAGAUGUGAAAGUCCUGGGCUUAACCUGGGGACUGCAUUUGAUACUGGGUUGCUUGAAUUCGGGAGAGGAUAGCGGAAUUCCCAGUGUAGAGGUGAAAUUCGUAGAUAUUGGGAAGAACACCGGUGGCGAAGGCGGCUAUCUGGACCGACAUUGACGCUGAGGCGCGAAAGCUAGGGGAGCAAACGGG